CCCAGAUGACCCUGAGCCUUUCCAUGGUUUUGAUGGCUCGCCCUAUUCAUCAGGUAAGGAAUCCUUAACAAAUGUGUAUAAAAUGUUUUAUAAAUUGCUAAUAGAAAUUUUAUUAAAAGUGUACAUACAUAUGCUACAGUUACAUCCACCUUACAUUUAUGUACCCCAUCAUUCUUUCCAGAUCUAGAAGUUCCCUCAUCAGAGCCCAAAUCAGUUGAUACGAGUAGUAACACCUCUCCAACUCCUUCAGACUCCCAAGCACCUGCCCAUCCCACUCCAUAGCCCAGCCACCCACUCUCAUCUACCAUAUGCCCAUCCCAGUAAGCAAGCCAACCACUAGAAUUUGACUGACAUGCGCCUUGUGACUUACAUAAACCAGACCUCUACAUAGCCUACAUGUCUUCAUUUUGCUGAAGACUGCCCAUCAUCCUAGCCUGUUAUCUGUGAUAAAGCACACUGAAGUUAGGUAUGGAAUGCAUCCUUAUCAUGAAUGCUCUACACCUCCAUCUCCAUCUCCCACAACCUAGGUAACAGCUUUGAGACUCACUAAAAGUUGAAUCCCAGAACCCCCUGAAUGAUGUAGGCUAUGGGGCCACAUAAGACUUUGUCCAGGGUUACAUAGCACGACAACUUUAAACUAAAAAACCAACAUUUUUCACACAACUCCAGGUUGUACUACACAUUACAAGUGUCAUCAAGGGAUAACUACAAGUAGAAGCACCAUUUUUGGACGGAAAAAACCCUUCAGGAAAGUAUACGUAUCAAAUGUAACAUGUAGUAGUGUACCAAAGGAUGAAAAGUAAGGUUUUUACAUACAGUACGUACAUACGUACAUAACUUUUUUUAUUAGGAAUU